AAGUCGUAACAAGGUUUCCGUAGGUGAACCUGCGGAAGGAUCAUUAACACGUAUCCAACGUUUGCGAACCACGCCUUUGUUAGAAAGUAGCAAUCCCUGGUAAAUCAUCGCCGAACAGUUUUGAUUCAGGGAUCUCUGCGAAGAGAGCGGUUGUAGCGCGAGGUAAGUGGCCUGGCAUUCCUCUGCUUGUUAGUGUCUGACAGUGUCACUAGCUCUGGACGGAUGGCGCAGUCACGAUCGCUAGAGGCCGACACAGCCGGCGACCGGGUAUCUUGGUUCUC
rnacentral:misc_RNA from 1 species